rnacentral:rRNA from 1 species
AUUAGACGAAUCAUCUGGAAAGAUGAAUCAAAGAAGGUAAUAAUCCUGUAGUCGAAAAUGUUGUCUCUCUUGAGUGGAUCCUGAGUACGACGGAGCACGUGAAAUUCCGUCGGAAUCUGGGAGGACCAUCUCCUAAGGCUAAAUACUCUCUAGUGACCGAUAGUGAACCAGUACCGUGAGGGAAAGGUGAAAAGCACCCCGGAAGGGGAGUGAAAUAGAACCUGAAACCGUGUGCUUACAAGUAGUCAGAGCCCGUUAAUGGGUGAUGGCGUGCCUUUUGUAGAAUGAACCGGCGAGUUACGAUUUGAUGCAAGGUUAAGCAGUAAAUGUGGAGCCGUAGCGAAAGCGAGUCUGAAUAGGGCGUUUAGUAUUUGGUCGUAGACCCGAAACCAGGUGAUCUACCCUUGGUCAGGUUGAAGUUCAGGUAACACUGAAUGGAGGACCGAACCGACUUACGUUGAAAAGUGAGCGGAUGAACUGAGGGUAGCGGAGAAAUUCCAAUCGAACCUGGAGAUAGCUGGUUCUCUCCGAAAUAGCUUUAGGGCUAGCCUCAAGUGAUGAUUAUUGGAGGUAGAGCACUGUUUGGACGAGGGGCCCCUCUCGGGUUACCGAAUUCAGACAAACUCCGAAUGCCAAUUAAUUUAACUUGGGAGUCAGAACAUGGGUGAUAAGGUCCGUGUUCGAAAGGGAAACAGCCCAGACCACCAGCUAAGGUCCCAAAAUAUAUGUUAAGUGGAAAAGGAUGUGGCGUUGCCCAGACAACUAGGAUGUUGGCUUAGAAGCAGCCAUCAUUUAAAGAGUGCGUAAUAGCUCACUAGUCGAGUGACACUGCGCCGAAAAUGUACCGGGGCUAAACAUAUUACCGAAGCUGUGGAUUGUCCUUUGGACAAUGGUAGGAGAGCGUUCUAAGGGCGUUGAAGCAUGAUCGUAAGGACAUGUGGAGCGCUUAGAAGUGAGAAUGCCGGUGUGAGUAGCGAAAGACGGGUGAGAAUCCCGUCCACCGAUUG